rnacentral:tRNA from 1 species
GCGCCGGUGGUGUAAUGGCGUAAAGCAUUCCCGGGUGAUUAGAGGGAGAUGCAGGUUCGAGUCCCGCCUGGCGCU